rnacentral:rRNA from 1 species
CCUACGGGGGGCAGCAGUGAGGAAUAUUGGUCAAUGGACGAGAGUCUGAACCAGCCAAGUAGCGUGAAGGAUGACUGCCCUAUGGGUUGUAAACUUCUUUUAUAUGGGAAUAAAAUGUUCCACGUGUGGGAUUUUGUAUGUACCAUAUGAAUAAGGAUCGGCUAACUCCGUGCCAGCAGCCGCGGUAAUACGGAGGAUCCGAGAGUUAUCCGGAUUUAUUGGGUUUAAAGGGAGCGUAGGUGGAUUGUUAAGUCAGUUGUGAAAGUUUGCGGCUCAACCGUAAAAUUGCAGUUGAAACUGGCAGUCUUGAGUACAGUAGAGGUGGGCGGAAUUCGUGGUGUAGCGGUGAAAUGCUUAGAUAUCACGAAGAACUCCGAUUGCGAAGGCAGUUCACUGGACUGCAACUGACACUGAGGCUCGAAAGUGUGGGUAUCAAACAGGAUUAGAUACCCUUGUAGUC